ACUGAAUGUUGGAAGUGAUGUCCGUCCCACCCUGACGGUGCUGCCCCCCUCCAGUGAGGAGCUGCUGAAGGGGAAGGCCACGCUCAUGUGCCUGGCCAACAAGGGCUUCCCCUCAGACUGGAGUCUGGCCUGGAAGGUGGACGGCAGCAGCAGCAGCAGCAGCUGGGAGGAGAGCAGGAGCCCCGGGGUGCUGGGGAAGGACGGCAAAUACAGCUGGAGCAGCACCCUGAGGCUCCCUAAAGACCAGUGGGAGAAGGUGGGCUCUGUGACCUGUGAGGCCACCCAGGGCUCCCAGACUCCACUCUCAGAGACACUGAGGAGAGACCAGUGUUCCCAGUCCUGACCUGACUCACUGGGACUCUGCUACUGGUUUCACUCUGAUACUGAUCUCAGUCUGCUCUCUCCCUACUCUCUCUCUCUCUC